rnacentral:rRNA from 1 species
GAAACUAGGAUACAAGCGAGCGGCGGACGGGUGAGUAACACGUGGGUAACCUGCCCAAGAGACUGGGAUAACACCUGGAAACAGAUGCUAAUACCGGAUAACAACACUAGACGCAUGUCUAGAGUUUAAAAGAUGGUUCUGCUAUCACUCUUGGAUGGACCUGCGGUGCAUUAGCUAGUUGGUAAGGUAACGGCUUACCAAGGCAAUGAUGCAUAGCCGAGUUGAGAGACUGAUCGGCCACAUUGGGACUGAGACACGGCCCAAACUCCUACGGGAGGCAGCAGUAGGGAAUCUUCCACAAUGGACGCAAGUCUGAUGGAGCAACGCCGCGUGAGUGAAGAAGGGUUUCGGCUCGUAAAGCUCUGUUGGUAGUGAAGAAAGAUAGAGGUAGUAACUGGCCUUUAUUUGACGGUAAUUACUUAGAAAGUCACGGCUAACUACGUGCCAGCAGCCGCGGUAAUACGUAGGUGGCAAGCGUUGUCCGGAUUUAUUGGGCGUAAAGCGAGUGCAGGCGGUUCAAUAAGUCUGAUGUGAAAGCCUUCGGCUCAACCGGAGAAUUGCAUCAGAAACUGUUGAACUUGAGUGCAGAAGAGGAGAGUGGAACUCCAUGUGUAGCGGUGGAAUGCGUAGAUAUAUGGAAGAACACCAGUGGCGAAGGCGGCUCUCUGGUCUGCAACUGACGCUGAGGCUCGAAAGCAUGGGUAGCGAACAGGAUUAGAUACCCUGGUAGUCCAUGCCGUAAACGAUGAGUGCUAAGU